UACGUAGGGGGCUAGCGUUGUCCGGAUUUAUUGGGCGUAAAGAGCGUGUAGGCGGCCAGAUAGGUCUGCUGUGAAAACUCGAGGCUCAACCUCGAGAUGUCGGCGGAAACCAUUUGGCUAGAGUCCGGAAGAGGAAAGUGGAAUUCCUGGUGUAGCGGUGAAAUGCGCAGAUAUCAGGAAGAACACCCGUGGCGAAGGCGGCCUGCUGGGCAGUGGCUGACACUGAGGCGCGACAGCGUGGGGAGCAAACAGG
rnacentral:rRNA from 1 species